GUCCACGCAGUAAACGAUGCAGACUAGGCGUGGGGGGACUUGACCCCCUCCGUGCCGAAGCUAACGCGUGAAGUCUGCCGCCUGGGGAGUACGGCCGCAAGGCUAAAACUCAAAGGAAUUGACGGGGGCCCGCACAAGCGGCGGAGCGUGCGGUUUAAUUCGACGCAACGCGUAGAACCUUACCAGGGCUUGACAUGCACCUGCAGAGCCGUGAAAGCGGUUGGCCUUCGAGGGUGGUGCACAGGUGCUGCAUGGCUGUCGU
rnacentral:rRNA from 1 species